rnacentral:rRNA from 1 species
AGGGGAGCCGGAGGGAAACCGAGUCUUAACCGGGCGUUAAGUUGCAGGGUAUAGACCCGAAACCCGGUGAUCUAGCCAUGGGCAGGUUGAAGGUUGGGUAACACUAACUGGAGGACCGAACCGACUAAUGUUGAAAAAUUAGCGGAUGACCUGUGGCUGGGGGUGAAAGGCCAAUCAAACCGGGAGAUAGCUGGUUCUCCCCGAAAGCUAUUUAGGUAGCGCCUCGUGAAUUCAUCUCCGGGGGUAGAGCACUGUUUCGGCUAGGGGGCCAUCCCGGCUUACCAACCCGAUGCAAACUGCGAAUACCGGAGAAUGUUAUCACGGGAGACACACGGCGGGUGCUAACGUCCGUCGUGAAGAGGGAAACAACCCAGACCGCCAGCUAAGGUCCCAAAGUCAUGGUUAAGUGGGAAACGAUGUGGGAAGGCCCAGACAGCCAGGAUGUUGGCUUAGAAGCAGCCAUCAUUUAAAGAAAGCGUAAUAGCUCACUGGUCGAGUCGGCCUGCGCGGAAGAUGUAACGGGGCUAAACCAUGCACCGAAGCUGCGGCAGCGACACUCAGGUGUCGUUGGGUAGGGGAGCGUUCUGUAAGCCUGCGAAGGUGGCCUGUGAGGGUUGCUGGAGGUAUCAGAAGUGCGAAUGCUGACAUAAGUAACGAUAAAGCGGGUGAAAAGCCCGCUCGCCGGAAGACCAAGGGUUCCUGUCCAACGUUAAUCGGGGCAGGGUGAGUCGACCCCUAAGGCGAGGCCGAAAGGCGUAGUCGAUGGGAAACGGGUUAAUAUUCCCGUACUUGGUGUUACUGCGAAGGGGGGACGGAGAAGGCUAUGUUGGCCGGGCGACGGUUGUCCCGGUUUAAGCGUGUAGGUGUGUGUUCCAGGUAAAUCCGGUUCACUUUAACACUGAGGCGUGACGACGAGGCACUACGGUGCUGAAGCAACAAAUGCCCUGCUUCCAGGAAAAGCCUCUAAGCAUCAGGUAACAUCAAAUCGUACCCCAAACCGACACAGGUGGUCAGGUAGAGAAUACCAAGGCGCUUGAGAGAACUCGGGUGAAGGAACUAGGCAAAAUGGUGCCGUAACU